UACGGAGGGAGCUAGCGUUGUUCGGAAUUACUGGGCGUAAAGCGCGCGUAGGCGGCUUUGUAAGUUAGAGGUGAAAGCCUGGAGCUCAACUUCAGAAUUGCCUUUGAUACUGAGAAGCUUGAGUCCGGGAGAGGUGAGUGGAACUGCGAGUGUAGAGGUGAAAUUCGUAGAUAUUCGCAAGAACACCAGUGGCGAAGGCGGCUCACUGGCCCGGUACUGACGCUGAGGUGCGAAAGCGUGGGGAGCAAACAGG
rnacentral:rRNA from 1 species